rnacentral:rRNA from 1 species
GGAUUGGGAGGGUUCUACGGAACCCGUUUGGUGAAUCUAGUGCCGAGAAAAGCCUUCUAUGUGUUGAAUUUCUAGUACCCGUACCCCAAACCGACACAGGUGGGUGGGUAGAGCAUACCUAGGGGCGCGUGAUAACUCUCUCUAAGGAACUCGGCAAAAUGGCCCUGUAACUUCGGGAUAAGGGGUGCCUGCGUGAGCAGGCCGCAGUGAAAUGGCUCUGGCGACUGUUUACCAAAAACACAGGUCUCUGCUAAGUCGUAAGACGAUGUAUAGGGGCUGACUCCUGCCCAGUGCCGGAAGGUUAAGGAAGUUGGUUAGCGCAAGCGAAGCUGGCGACCGAAGCCCCGGUGAACGGCGGCCGUAACAAUAACGGUCCUAAGGUAGCGAAAUUCCUUGUCGGGUAAGUUCCGACCCGCACGAAAGGAGUAACGAUCAGAGCGCUGUCUCGGAGAGAGACACGGCGAAAUAGGAUUGUCCGUGAAGAUACGGACUACCUGCACCCGGACAGAAAGACCCUAUGAAGCUUUACUGUAACUUGGAAUUGUGUUCGGACUUUGUCUGCGCAGAAUAGGUGGGAGGCUAUGAAACGUUCCUCGCGGGGAACUGGAGCCAUCGUUGAGAUACCACUCUGGCAGAGUCUGGAUUCUAACCUACGGGGACAGUUCCAGGUGGGCAGUUUGACUGGGGCGGUCGCCUCCUAAAAUGUAACGGAGGCGCGCAAAGGUUCCCUCAGGCUGGUUGGAAAUCAGCCAUAGAGUGUAAAAGCAUAAGGGAGCUUGACUGUGAGACCUACAAGUCGAGCAGGGACGAAAGUCGGCUUUAGUGAUCCGACGGCACUGAGUGGAAGGGCCGUCGCUCAACGGAUAAAAGUUACUCUAGGAUAACAGGCUGAUCUCCCCCAAGAGUUCACAUCGACGGGGAGGUUUGGCACCUCGAUGUCGGCUCGUCGCAACCUGGGGCGGUAGUACGUCCCAAGGGUUGGGCUGUUCGCCCAUUAAAGCGGCACGUGAGCUGGGUUCAGAACGUCGUGAGACAGUUCGGUCCAUAUCCGGUGUAGGCGUAGGAGCAUUGAAAGGAUCUCUCCUUAGUACGAGAGGACCGGGAGGGACGUGCCUCUGGUGUACCUGUUAUCGUGCCAACGGUAAACGCAGGGUAGCCAUGUACGGAGUGGAUAACCGCUGAAAGCAUCUAAGUGGGAAGCCCACCUUAAGAUGAGUGCUCCCUUGAGGCCACGGGAAGACGACCCGUUUGAUAGGCGCUAGGUGGAAGUGCAGUAAUGCAUGCAGCCGAGGCGUACUAAUAGGCCGAUGGC